UACUGUAAUAGUAAUAAAGUCUCUGGUGUAGGAAAAUGCUCCGACUGUUAAAUAAAGUUUAACUAUAUUUUCCGUACAGUUUCUGUGCAGAGUUCGAGGGUUGAACUUCACGAAAAAUCACAGCAUUUUCCAACAAUGCCGACAUUUUGCUGGUGUAGUGUUUUAUAAAAAUCCGAUCAAAUAUGCUCAGGAAUAUAUUUGCUACUUUAUAGUUCUCACAAUUUUAUAGCUGCUCACACAAACGAGGAAUCAAGCCAUAUAAAAACAUUCUAAAAGUUUAUCUUGAUUGUUCCUUGGACAGAAUGUUGUGUAAAGUGGCAAUGCAAAGCAUCGAACAAAGCAUCAGUGGAGGAAACAGUAGCCAAACUGACCUGAAUCGAUGUGAUGUAAUCAAACCACGUCCUCUAAUAGUCAACGCAGCACGAGUUUUGUCUCUCCCUUUACUAUAUAGACUUGCACACUAUCUCUCACUGACUAAAAGAAAAAACCCUCUCGCCAUCAAUUUCUUGUAUAGCUUCGGUGAAUUCAGCGUCUGUUUCGUCUAACUGUAUUUCCGUUAGAGCAACAGACACAUCAAAGUUGUAUAAAUCCUCUGCGGUUGCAUCGUCUAGUUGCGAUAAAUGUCUUCGCCCUUCGUCCUCUUAUGCCUCGAUCAUAAACUGUUCACGACGCUCGCUUUCUUCGAUAUUUUCAUCUCCAACGUUCAAAAUAGGUUCGUAUGUUUGUUCGCUUUC